rnacentral:lncRNA from 1 species
CUUUUUUUCCUUUGGGGUUGAAUUCUCUGGAACUUCUAACCGCGAUUCAGGAUUUGGGACGGAAAAAUUUCCUUUUCGAUCGCUCAACUUGAAAAUUUCUAAGCCAUUUAAGAUAGCAUUUUCAUACACAGCUUUUGUUUCCAUGUUAGGUCGCAAUUCAAGCGACACAUCUUUCUUGCCUCGUCGGCCAUCUGGAUCUCUCACAAACACCACGUAGUCUGUGUACAUCGGGACUCUCCAGCCGCGACUCCGUUGAAUCACAUCGACUAGUUGAUCUGCCGUUUGGUUUCCAAUGAGUAUAUCGAAAACCCGAUAGUUCUGUUCCUUAACUUCCAGCUGAAUCUCACAAAAAUGGAGCCUGAAAAGAUAGUAGAACCCAGCGUCAAGAGGAAAAAUCCAAUCCAGGCUCUGGCUGUAAUUGGCGAUGGUCCUAGAGGUUGUGUAAACUAUGUUUGGCGCCGUAUAAGCCGGGGUUUCAGAAGUGUAAUUAAUGUUGACAUCUAUAUGAGGAGUUUGAUAGUCAUAUCCAACAACAAAGUCUUCAUCUGAAUCCCAUACCCGAUACAUGCCUGUAUCCCCUGUGCUCGAAACCAAAUUGCCUCCCACGUUCAGCCUGUACACAUUUUCAAGAGCAGUGCUGUUAUUGAUGUAAUAAAGAUUAUACUGCCCCACCAAUAUGAUGCCACCACUAUCUUCACGGAGAUAAAGAUCAGUUGGCAUGGAAACAAUCUCGAUCCCAUUAACAAAAGCGUAAGAGUUCGGCGAAGGAGAAAAGGUUAUAUUGAGUAUCUGAGUUUCAUCAACAUUGAUGACAUAUUCUUUUUGAAUUUUUAAACUAGAAUCGGUACUUGCAGCGACCGUGAGGAAAGCGCUGAAGUUACUCAAGAGGGUAAACUGAUUAGCUGUUACAGAGAAAAAGGAUUCGGAUUUGUUGAAGCCAAGGUAUGUGGUGGGGUAAAAAUAGAGACGGAGGAAACUAGUGCCAGGAGGAACACGGAAAGGGUAGGUGAAUUUAGAUUUGAAAAUACGAGCAUUCGUAUAAGGGACUCUAGAAACUGAAGAGUCUUGUUCAGAGGCUGUGGCUGGUGAUGAUAUGGUUGAUGAAUUGGAAGGUAACAAAUUGGGAUAGUGGGUAUCAGUAUCCCAUCGACGGCCAUCUUCAUCAGUGGCGACUGAUGGUGCGCCACAGUUGAGCAAGAAAUAUACUGUGGCAUUAUACGAUGAAGGCGUGACAGAAAUAGUGGCCGUUAUGAGUUGUAAGAGGAGAAAUGAAAUCAAAGCAAUGGCAACCAUGGUUGUGGUGGUUAUGAAAGUAAAAUACUACUAUGGAUUUGGUGUGUAGAUAGAUAUUAGUUAGAUGAAGUAAUAAUUAUACUCAACAAUAGCAAAGACUUGAGGGUUGACUCUCAAGUCAUUUUUGCUACUGUAAUUCUUAAUUUUGUAUGGCUGAAAGCCGACGUAGACCGAAAUAGUGUCCUUUGUCAUCAUUCGUUUAUUUUACUUUUUUGUUCAAGUAUUGUACAAAAUGAAAUAGCCUAGUAUUCAGUCUUCCGUACUUCUUGUGUUAUUAUAUAAUACUUAGUCUUUUUUUAAUUCAUUUAAAAAAGAAUGUUAAAUUUUUUUUUUUUUUUUUUGCUAACUAUUUAAAGAUAGAAUUUCAUGUUUACUCUUAUUGAUCCCACUUAUAAUGACCGACUUAAUUAAAAAUAGUAGUAGUAUAUUUUUUUAAUAAAAGAUAAUUUGAUAAAAAUUCAUCAAGUCUUUUCUUAUUUAUUAAACUCUAUAGUCUAUAUCCAGUCAAACUAUGACACAUAAAAUAAAACGCAGAAAGCAUUAUUUUCCUUUAUAAGUACUCACUGUAGCCCAACUUUCAUGACAUCGAUAAACUUUGACAAAGUAUUUAAGAAAUAAAGAAAUACGUUGAAAAUUUAUAGUCUAAAAUAAAUAUUUUAUUAUAAAAAUGGAAGUUUAAAGUUAAUUUAUUUUUGUUUAUAGAAAUAUGGCAUUUUUUGGGGAUAAAUUAAAACAAAAUGAGUCAUAGAAGUUGGAAUAACGAGAGUAAUUAAUUGACAAGAAAAGAUCAAUAUAUUUCAUUUAAGAAAUGAGUUAACUUUAAAUUUUUAGUUUUAAUAAGUAAUUUAUAGUCAGACAAGAAAGCAAAUCAUUAUAUAUUAACAUUACCUACUAGUGACAAUCAAAACCUACCCAUCAAGGUGACUUUACUGUUUAAGUGCGCAAAGUUUAGUUACUUCAAUAUGAUUAAAUAAUAUACAAGUUUACUGUUAUACCGUAUAAAGUUCAGUGACUAUGAGUGAGAUUAAAUGUAUACCUGUAUGGAGAUAACACAAUCCUUUUGCUGCGCCAAUGCAAAUCUCAAGGCGUUUCCUCCAUGGAAGAGGAGCAUUAUCAGCUUUGUACAAGUGAUCACGGAGAGUUCCAUGAGCCAUGUAAUCAUAAACCAAAAUCAUCUCAUUGUUAUCAUCACAAUAACCAAUUAAGGAUACCAAAUGCAGAUGUCUUAGCUUUGAUAACAUGUGAAUCUCUGUCUCAAACUCGCGAACUCCUUGCUUUGAUGAAGGAUUCAAUCUCUUGAUUGCAACUGUGGUUGUGCCGUUGUCUAUGUACCCUUUGUACACAUUACCGAAACCUCCAUACCCAAUCACAAAAUUGUCAUCAAAAUUUCCUGUUGCAGCUUUUAUCUCCUCCAGUAAAAAGUGUCGAGGGUAAUGAUGAUGAGCCUGACCCGCUGGUCCUUUGGGUUGAGUUCGAUGUAAUUGAUAAAGGGAUCCACGAUGAUUUUGUAACGCUUGUAUGCAGAUCCUUUCCCUUUUUCCUCCGCUGGAAAAUCAAGAAACAUAGAAUUGACAACAGAGCAAUUCCACUAAUCACACCUGCUGUGAUAACAACAAAGACAUGCCAUUUCUUUUUCUUUUUUUCCUUUGGGGUUGAAUUCUCUGGAACUUCUAACCGCGAUUCAGGAUUUGGGACGGAAAAAUUUCCUUUUCGAUCGCUCAACUUGAAAAUUUCUAAGCCAUUUAAGAUAGCAUUUUCAUACACAGCUUUUGUUUCCAUGUUAGGUCGCAAUUCAAGCGACACAUCUUUCUUGCCUCGUCGGCCAUCUGGAUCUCUCACAAACACCACGUAGUCUGUGUACAUCGGGACUCUCCAGCCGCGACUCCGUUGAAUCACAUCGACUAGUUGAUCUGCCGUUUGGUUUCCAAUGAGUAUAUCGAAAACCCGAUAGUUCUGUUCCUUAACUUCCAGCUGAAUCUCACAAAAAUGGAGCCUGAAAAGAUAGUAGAACCCAGCGUCAAGAGGAAAAAUCCAAUCCAGGCUCUGGCUGUAAUUGGCGAUGGUCCUAGAG